rnacentral:rRNA from 1 species
UGGGGAAUAUUGCACAAUGGGCGCAAGCCUGAUGCAGCCAUGCCGCGUGUAUGAAGAAGGCCUUCGGGUUGUAAAGUACUUUCAGCGAGGAGGAGGGUGCUGUGGUUAAUAACCACAGCAAUUGACGUUACUCGCAGAAGAAGCACCGGCUAACUCCGUGCCAGCAGCCGCGGUAAUACGGAGGGUGCAAGCGUUAAUCGGAAUUACUGGGCGUAAAGCGCACGCAGGCGGUCUGUCAAGUCGGAUGUGAAAUCCCCGGGCUCAACCUGGGAACUGCAUCCGAAACUGGCAGGCUAGAGUCUUGUAGAGGGGGGUAGAAUUCCAGGUGUAGCGGUGAAAUGCGUAGAGAUCUGGAGGAAUACCGGUGGCGAAGGCGGCCCCCUGGACAAAGACUGACGCUCAGGUGCGAAAGCGUGGGGGAGCAAACA